rfam:Enterorhabdus caecimuris B7 genomic scaffold acPFx-supercont1.1, whole genome shotgun sequence.
GGGGGCGACUGGUUUCGACAUGGUAAGUCCGAAACGAGGAGCAGGUCGUGGUCUCCUCGCCACGUUAAACAGGGGUAACGUCAAGUUAAUUGGCAAAAACACUUCUAAGACCGGCUACUACAUGCCGGCCGCCAUGGCUGCCUAACCGCAGUUUUUGGUGAUCGCCGACCCCGGUGUUUCCCCGAACCGGGCAAGGCGUCAUUUGAGGGGAAUGCCCCGCGGCACGUAGUCGGUAUGGCCGCGGGAAAGAUUGAACCGACUAGGAGCGGCCACGUUGGUUGGCGAACCGAUCCGCUCCGAAGCCCGAUCGCCAACUAAGCUUGUAGAGCCUCGUGGACGAUUUAGUAUGGACCGGAGUUCGAUUCUCCGCGCCUCCACCA